CCCUUAGAUGUUCUGGGCUGCACGCGCGCUACACUGACACACUCAGCGAGUCUCCUGGCCCGAGAGGGUUGGGUAAUCAUGUGAGCGUGUGUCGUGAUGGGGAUAGAAUAUUGUAAUUAUUGCUCUUCAACGAGGAAUUCCUAGUAAACGCAAGUCAUCAGCUUGCAUUGAUUACGUCCCUGCCCUUUGUACACACCGCCCGUCGCACCUACCGAUUGAAUGGUCCGGUGAAAUCUCGGGACGGCGGCUUGGUCGCUUGCGUCCGACUGCUGAAACUUGAUUAAACCAUAUCAUUUAGAGGAAGGUGAAGUCGUANCA
rnacentral:rRNA from 1 species